rnacentral:ncRNA from 1 species
AUAAUAAUGCCGCCGGGUAAGCCUUAUUUCUCAUUCCAUUAGGCCGUAGCAGGAAUGAUGAGAUAAGGCUUUUUUGU